rnacentral:rRNA from 1 species
UUGGGCGUAGAGGGCUCGCAGGCGGUUUCUUAAGUCUGAUGUGAAAGCCCCCGGCUCAACCGGGGAGGGUCAUUGGAAACUGGGAAACUUGAGUGCAGAAGAGGAGAGUGGAAUUCCACGUGUAGCGGUGAAAUGCGUAGAGAUGUGGAGGAACACCAGUGGCGAAGGCGACUCUCUGGUCUGUAACUGACGCUGAGGAGCGAAAGCGUGGGGAGCGAACAGGAUUAGAUACCCUGGUAGUCCACGCCGUAAACGAUGAGUGCUAAGUGUUAGGGGGUUUCCGCCCCUUAGUGCUGCAGCUAACGCAUUAAGCACUCCGCCUGGGGAGUACGGUCGCAAGACUGAAACUCAAAGGAAUUGACGGGGGCCCGCACAAGCGGUGGAGCAUGUGGUUUAAUUCGAAGCAACGCGAAGAACCUUACCAGGUCUUGACAUCCUCUGACAACCCUAGAGAUAGGGCUUUCCCUUCGGGGACAGAGUGACAGGUGGUGCAUGGUUGUCGUCAGCUCGUGUCGUGAGAUGUUGGGUUAAGUCCCGCAACGAGCGCAACCCUUGAUCUUAGUUGCCAGCAUUCAGUUGGGCACUCUAAGGUGACUGCCGGUGACAAACCGGAGGAAGGUGGGGAUGACGUCAAAUCAUCAUGCCCCUUAUGACCUGGGCUACACACGUGCUACAAUGGACAGAACAAAGGGCUGCAAGACCGCAAGGUUUAGCCAAUCCCAUAAAUCUGUUCUCAGUUCGGAUCGCAGUCUGCAACUCGACUGCGUGAAACUGGAAUCG